CAAUAGCGUAUAUUAAAGUUGUUGCGGUUAAAAAGCUCGUAGUUGGAUUUCUGCUGAGGAUGACCGGUCCGCCCUCCGGGUGAGUAUCUGGCUCAGCCUUGGCAUCUUCCUGAAGAACGUAACUGCACUUGACUGUGUGGUGCGGUAUUUAGGACAUUUACUUUGAGGAAAUUUGAGUGUUUCAAGCAAGCGCACGCCUCGAAUACAUUAGCAUGGAAUAAUAAGAUAGGACCUCGGUUCUAUUUUGUUGGUUUCUAGAGCUGAGGUAAUGAUUGAUAGGGAUAGUUGGGGGCAUUCGUAUUUAACUGUCAGAGGUGAGAUUCUUGGAUUUGUUAAAGACGGACUACUGCGAAAGCAUUUGCCAAGGAUGUUUUCAUUGA
rnacentral:rRNA from 1 species